rnacentral:rRNA from 1 species
UACGUAGGGUGCGAGCGUUAAUCGGAAUUACUGGGCGUAAAGAGCGCGCAGGCGGUCGUUUAAGUCGGAUGUGAAAACUCUGGGCUCAACCCAGAGCCUGCAUCCGAAACUGGAGAGCUUGGGUUCUGGAGGGGAAAGCGGAAUUCCUGGUGUAGCAGUGAAAUGCGUAGAUAUCAGGAGGAACACCGGUGGCGAAGGCGGCUUUCUGGACAGAUACCGACGCUGAGGCACGAAAGCUAGGGGAGCAAACAGG